UUUUCUUUUUACUUUUGCGCUAAGGAUAAGGGAACUGAGAAAAAAAGAGCUGGCUUGGCUGGUACAUCAAGCAUAUGACAUAUUGCUUGUUCGGUGUGGUACACAUAUUUGUCAAUGUCAAUCAAGUAAGAAAAUGCAUUCCCACUGUCUGAGGAAAAGGUGAAGAAUUGCAAUUUAUUGAGCUUGUAAGGCCCGUUGAAGUCCCUGAGAAAGGGUAUAAAUAGGGCUAUAAGUAGGCCGUUUGCUAUUGCAAUAAGGGCUGCUCGCCUUUCCUUUUCACGGCUUGGCUUCCUAUCGCUCCUAUGUAGUUGUCGGCCUUAAAAGGAGUCUUCCUACCAUACCAUCAUGCAUGCCUAUGAGAUCGGAAGGGCA